rnacentral:lncRNA from 10 species
GUAGCAUGAAUCAGUGGUGUGUUCCUUUUUAUUGCUGAAUGAUAUGUCAGUCAGAUGUCUAUUUAAAAGACUAUGCUGGUUAUAGAAUGAAAGAUGGGGUAGGAGGAGGAAGAAAGUAGAGGCCAAGAGACCAGUUAGGAGACACUGGUUGUUGUUCAGGCCGAGACAAAGAAGGUGUGAGUUGGUAGAGAGGCUGUGGGCAUGAAGAGAGAGGACUGGGUGGGAGGUUACAGGUCUGGGAGCAAUUAGUGUACAAUAGGACCAUUGGGGAGGCUUGACCAGAGGCCAGGAGCUACAUAGGGAAAGUGAGAAGCCCAGGAGAGGUCUGAAUUCCCACAGGGCUAAGAAACAGGACCUGAGCUGAUUGCACCUCUGGGCAGAUUCAUACCUGGCUGAAGGAACAGAGUGCUCUAAGGACCCACCAGCCCUGCGGACCCUCCUGGUGGUCUGCUGCCAGGCUGGCUCCUUGGGCUAUUGGGAUGAAGAUAAUGAGAACAUGUUUGUCAACUGUGCAGGUGACACAAAUCUGGAAAGAACAGCAAAUUUGGGAUAACAAUGUUCAAAAACAUCUUGGCGGGCUCCAGUGAUGGGCUGUGGCAAAAUCUGGGCAGCUCCACGGGGGUGAGACCUAGUGGAUUAUGAGUCUUCUGGUUACCUGUCUGUCUUCCUAGGAUGCUGUGAGCUUUGUGAGAACAAGAACAGUGUCUGCAGGACACAAGGAGUGUCAUCUGAAAAGGACCCCAACAACUUGCUCUGGGUCUCAGCUCUGGGGGUUUCCCCAAUAAAACCUGAUCCCUAACCCAUACUGUAUGAUGUGCAGAAAUUUAUCCCAAGCCCUGGUAACUCAACAGGUGGUCAUCACAAUAGUGACAUCUUCUUCUUCGUAUCCAUUUAUCAAACCAACUGUCAUGCCAGCCCAUGGACAACAGAAGGCACAGACCCCUUGGAUGAUGGGCACCUUCACUAAACAGAGUCAGCUCAGAUUUCCAAAUACAAGUAUUAAGCAGGGGCCCCAUUACUGCACUCUGUUUACGGUGUCCUCAUUCUUGGAAACUGGAAAUUCUGAUAACAUUUACUGCACUGUCUAAUGAUAUAACUAGCAUAUGCUCUCUGAGGCAGAUCUGGAAAAUAUAAGCAAGAUUAACUUUUUGAUUAAUCUCUCUCUCAAUACAGAAUACAUGCUCAGCAUAUUCAUUCAUUCAUCCAUACACAUAGGUACACAGACACACACACACACAAACACAUACACACCACAGAUUCUUUCUACAUAUUUGGGAUCAACAGUUUGGCUUUUAGUUUCAAAUUAAAAACAUUUUUCUGUCCUUAAGACUCUUUGAAAACAGUCUGUGCACUCAGGGCAUCACACCCCACCCUAUGCAGGUUCCAUGACUGAUGUGCCCAUUCCCCUCUCAUUGCCGUGUAGGUGGUUUUGGAUUUGGGGAUUGGCUUUGGUAAGCCUAAGUCUGCAACCAGUACAUCGGCUGUGUCUCUCACGUGAGCCCAUGAGUCCUUCCCCCUUUAAGCAACCUUCUCUCAGAACCUGCAAUCCUUCCUCUUCUGGUCCCCUUGCUCCUGGGUGUGUGUGUAACUUCCCUCUGUUCCUCACCUCAAGGGCAAGUUAUGCCCUAGCCCCCUGCUUCCCCCUGGCCAGCUAGCUUCUGUGACUUCACAUCUUCACAGUCCUGCGAGACCACAAAAAAGAUCCUUCCUGGCUCUCUCCUGCCAUCUCCUGCCCACUCACAUCUCUAGCUCCCUGGCUGAAGCAGUACAGUGCUCGAAUGAAUUAGAAAAGCAGGACAAACCUAAAUCCAUGUGAAAACAUGCAAUAGGUUUCAUUGUAAAGUCCCAUGGUUGCUUUGUUCUCAGCUAUCUGCAUAUGACAUUAUGACAAGCCUGAUUUAGCAUCUGGAAAGAGACCUAGAGGCAUAAUUGGUUAAUAAGCUAAAGAAGAAUCAAUAGUGGAAUGUGGCUGUCAAAAGAGAAAGUUAGGCUGGGCGCGGUGGCUCACACCUGUAAUCACAGCACUUUGGAAGGCGGGUGGAUCUCGAGGUCAAGAGAUCGAGACC